rnacentral:ncRNA from 1 species
GCCGAGUGGGCGACUAAUACAAUACCCGAAAGGGGAAUAUGUCCAGCUGACUUACUGCAGCCUUCGAACCACUUGGCGCCCAACU